rnacentral:rRNA from 1 species
GAUGAACGCUGGCGGCGUGCUUAACACAUGCAAGUCGAACGAAACACCUUAUUUUAUUUUCUUCGGAACUGAAGAUUUGGUGAUUGAGUGGCGGACGGGUGAGUAACGCGUGGGUAACCUGCCCUGUACAGGGGGAUAACAGUCAGAAAUGACUGCUAAUACCGCAUAAGACCACAGCACCGCAUUGUGCAGGGGUAAAAACUCCGGUGGUACAGGAUGGACCCGCGUCUGAUUAGCUGGUUGGUGAGGUAACGGCUCACCAAGGCGACGAUCAGUAGCCGGCUUGAGAGAGUGAACGGUCACAUUGGGACUGAGACACGGCCCAAACUCCUACGGGAGGCAGGAGUGGGGAAUAUUGCACAAUGGGGGAAACCCUGAUGCAGCGACGCCGCGUGAGUGAAGAAGUAUUUCGGUAUGUAAAGCUCUCUCAGCAGGGAAGAAAAUGACGGUACCUGACUAAGAAGCCCCGGCUAACUACGUG